GAUGAAGAACGUAGCGAAAUGCGAUACGUAAUGUGAAUUGCAGAAUUCAGUGAAUCAUCGAAUCUUUGAACGCAUAUUGCGCUCUCUGGUAUUCCGGAGAGCAAGCUUGUUUGAGUAUCAGUAAACACCUCAACUCCCCUUUCUUUUUUGAAAUGGGAGCUGGACUUGAGUGAUCCCAACGCUUUUCUCACCGAAAAGUGGCGGGUUACUUGAAAUGCAGGUGCAGCUGGACUUUUCUCUGAGCUAAAAGCAUAUCUAUUUAGUCUGCCUAAAAACAGAUUAUUACCUUUGCUGCAGCUAACAUAAAGGAGAUUAGUUCUUGUGCUGACUGAUGCAGGAUUCACAGAGACAGCUUCGGCUGGCCUUUGUAAACUCGAUCUCAAAUCAAGUAAGACUACCCGCUGAACUUAAGCAUAUCAAUAAGCGGAGGA
rnacentral:misc_RNA from 1 species